AUGUUUCUGUUCUAUCAGAGCUUUAUGUCUAAUUUUACUCUUCAUUUCCUUUCAGUGGCGACACAGAGACGCUGCAUGCAGGUUCAUCAGUUGAACAUAAACUGUGUUCAGGGUGACAGCAUGACUAUUUCUUGCCUGACCACAAUCCACCUGCUGGAGUCUCUGACAGUCAAACUACACAAGAAAAACCAAGAUAAAGACAUCCUGAUAAAUCCAGACAUCUCUCCAGCAUCAGAGCACCAGAGAUGGUCUGUGAGGAAAGAUGCUGGAAAUGUUACACUUGAUCUGAAAGACAUCAGAUUAUCUGAUGAUGGCUUUUAUGACUGUCAGGUCUACAAGGAUCAGGACUGCCUUCAUGCAACUACAUUUAACCUGAGGGUCAAAGAGUGUAAAAUUUUGGACUCUGUCCAUCCAACACCAGGCUCUUCAGUGCUGCUGCCAUGCUCUGAACAUCCUCUACAAAACAGAACUGAACGAGUCACUUGGAACAUCAUUAUUGGUCAUCAACCAACAGAUAUAUUUCAGUAUCGGCCACCAAACAAGCCCUCAAGCAGCACAGAGAAACCCCCAAAGCCUCUGUAUGAGAGAGCGAGACAACUAGCAAACGGAUCUCUGCUUAUAAGAGAUGCAGUACGCACUGAUAAUUUUUGGUAUCAAUGCAGAGUGAAUGAAAAAACCUGCUAUGAAGUGAAGCUGCUGCUGAAAGUGAUCACAGAUGAUCCAACCCCAGAGGACAGUACGGUUGUUCAGACUGAACACAACAACAAUUACGAGAGUGAAACAGCGAUAACUAAUUCAACAGUAGUGGUGAUGACCACAGUAGUGUCUCUGUGUGUCCUCAUAUCACUGACCAUCUGUGUCAUUGUGUAUUUCAAAAAACGAAGAUCCAAAAUGGACAGCCAAAUUGAUUUGAACUGUCAGUCUUCCGUGUAUUAUUCUGACAUUUCAGGAGGUAAGUGAUAUUCAUGGUACAUCCUUAUACAAAAUAUGAGUAAUAUGCUUGAUGAAGUGUAUUUUAUAAAAGUUGUUUUCUUGCAGUGUUGGAUGUGCCUUUGUAUUCUUUAGUUCAACGUAACACAUACCAUGGCCACAUGUAAGUUACGGCAAUGCAGUAGUGAAAUCAUUCAUUUGAUAUCUGUCCUGAACUACAUACAAAUGUUAACAAUUAAGCUAGGAUAAAGUCACAUCAUACUGGUUUGAACUAAUUUAUAUGUAUUACUAAAUACUUCAAAGUUCAUAUAAACACACUCACAACAAAAGUGAAACAUGCCAAAUGUAAUACUGCAUUUCCUCUCCAGUGUGCAUUUCUUGACUGGUAUAAUUAUAUAACCUACUGUAUAACAAUAUAUGCUAUGUGUAUGUAGCUUCCAUUGCAAUUUUAAGAGUUUUGUAGAAUUUAUAAUCUCAGUUUAUAGCAUGGGCAAGCAUUAUAUAUAAGUAUAGCACGUAUACAUCUGCAAAUGUGCUCAUGAUUCAAACUAUUUACUUUUUUCCACAAAAUGAAUUUUUUUAACUUUAUCUCCCAACAGCUGGUGUGAACAAGCAGAAGCUCCUGCCUGUAAUCCAGACAACAUUUAUGACAACAGAAUGCUGUGAAAUAAAUGAUUUUAAUUGUUUUUUUUUUUUUUUUUU
ensembl:lncRNA